rnacentral:pre_miRNA from 1 species
GAUUUCAUUUGAAAAAGUCAUCAAUAACAAAGUUGUAUAACUCAUCAAGAUCUAUAACUUCUAUUUUGGUUAUUUCUUCAUCCGAUAAAGUGAUUUGUAAGAUUGUUCACAAAAUGUACAUCUCUUAUGUAGUUUCUAUAAGAUAAAGUGAUUUGUAAGAUUGUUCACAAAAUGUACAUCUCUUAUGUAGUUUUAUAUAUUUUGUGAACAAUCUUACAAAUCACUUUAUCGGAUAAAGAAAUGACCAAAAUAGAAGUUAUAGAUCUUGAUGAGUUAUACCACUUUGUUAUUGAUGACUUUUUCAGUUGAAAUC